rnacentral:rRNA from 1 species
UACGGAGGGUGCAAGCGUUAUCCGGAUUCACUGGGUUUAAAAGGGUGCGUAGGAGGGCAGGUAAGUCAGUGGUGAAAUCCCCGAGCUUAACUUGGGAACUGCCGUUGAUACUAUCUGUCUUGAAUACCGUGGAGGUGAGCGGAAUAUGUCAUGUGCGGUGAAAUGCUUAGAAUAUGACAUAGAACACCAAUUGCGAAGGCAGCUCGCUACACGAAUAUUGACUCUGAGGCACGAAAGCGUGGGGAUCAAACAGG